CUGCCAACUGCAACCGAAAUGCCAUUAUGGAAUAAAUGAAGGACGAGGAGGAGGAAAAUACGGCGACAGGGGCAAUAUGUUUUAACGAGGAUACAAAAACCACUACAGUCAAACGCCGACAGGACGAGGCACGGUCAGAAGAGUGAAAUACGCAGGCGUCGCUUAAUAAUUUCUUGUGGUCCAACGUAGUAGAUUGAGCAUUAAAAUUCAAAUGAAAUUUGAACUUUGAGAGCGUUUAAACGGGAGAUAUGCGAGAAAAUGGUAUUGCCUGUCUGAGAAACGUGUAUAAAGUGUAUGGUGAGGGGGUUUUAAAGCCUUAAAACAUAUAUACAGUACGUAUGUGUAUGUAAUAGUAAAAAAUGAUUAGUUGGCUACUUCGCGGAUUUCACUCAUUGCGGGCUAUUUUGGGAUAAACAGGGGACACUGCAUAUAAUCAGAGAUCGGUAUGUUUCACCUGGUGACACCUAGUGACCAGUGUAGAGUACUGCAUAUUGAAUGCGUCUUCUUAAUGCCUCAUGUUUUUUAGUUCAUUUAGCCAUUUUUUUUUUUGCUUGAAAAUGCUUCUUUUAGGCAAAAGAAUACGUAAAAUUUGCUUAAAUAUACAUACUGUUUUAUUUUACUAAUGGGCCACAAUUAACCACAAAACAGCAUGAUUUAUUAAUUAAUCUAUUUCUGAAAAACCAUAAUAGUGAUACCGCGAAAUUCGACCCACGAUGAGGCGAGGGAUGACGGUAUAUCAGAAAACCUUUUUACUUCUAGAACUUUUUCAACAUUUUUAACUAAUAGCACUAUAACACAAAUAUCCUUCUGAUUGGCUGGCAGAAAUCAAAUGGUUUUGCUCAUACAGGCGACCAGUCUUUGUUUUUGGAUGACAAAUUCCAAAAUGUAAGUUUGAAAAAUGUAGACAAUGUUUGCAUCGUCCCCUUUUUAGGCGCACUGGUUGUCAUCAGUGUCUAAUGAGUCCCGGCUAAACUCAUGUUGCCUGUUGAGUAACAAGCAUAAGGAUGUUGAAGUAUAUUUUAAGACAUUUAGUAUCCUAAAAAGAAGAGCUGCUUGCAGUUAUUGAUUGACGCUGUCUCACUGGUGACUGCCUGAUAGUGACUAAACCAAAGCUGAUGUAAGAAAGGAAUUACUGUGGAUGUCAAGGUCUGUGAAAGCAGCAGCUCACCUUCUUUCUGGCAAACAGCAGGUCUUGGUAGACGUUGGAUCGCAAAAAGCGUGCAUAGCUGUCACUUUUCAUCAGCGUGAAGAUGUGCUCCUGAAAUAGAAGGACAAUGCAGUUGAAGGAUGCUCUGAAGGACGUCACACUUCACCAACGUACUGUGAAGCAAACCCCUCCGUGGAGGACGGGCCCCGUCUACCAUUCAUGAAUUUAGUCGCCUCAUUAGGCCCCGGCAACACAGCCACUGAAUGAAUGAUGUGGCCGCUUCAUUCUGCUUCCACCGAAACCAGAUUGCAUCAAACAUUUGCAAAAGCAUCACAGCAAGGACUAUGCAAAGUUUAACAGUCAUCUAGUGGAUCGGGGCAGGGGUGUGUCGUACAUUAUAGCGAUCUAAUUAUCUUAUUUAUUAUGUAUUAUUAAAAGCACAAAAUGAAUGCCGACCCACCAUCCACCAGUUCAAGUUCCAGGCAAGUUUUUCCAGAAAGAUGAUUACAUCGCUGUUUGACGUGUGUGGUAAAGACAGUGCGCUAGCAUGAAUUAACUUGAGACAAAUGUGCACAUUAGCACUCAAUAAGUCAUCAAAACUUACCUUUAUGCAUUCCCACAUAGUAUCAGCAUUUGACACCAAAUAUGAGGUGAAAGAAAAAUGGUAAAAAUUCAGUAGUAUGAGAUGAGAGUAGCAUGAGAUAAAGUUAGCUCACGCACAAUGGACAUGCGUCAAGUGAGACAGAUGUAACAAAGAGAAUCUGGCCACUUUUCAAAAUAAAACAAAAAAAAAUUUAAAAAUGGAAAUAAUUUUUUCUUUCUGUGCGGCCCGGUACCAAAUGACCCACGGCCCGGGGUUGGGGACCACUGAUGUAAAACACAAACACCAACUGAUUGUAAUGGAAUCAAUAUGGAAACGAUAAAACACAAACACCAACUGAUUGUAAUGGAAUCAACCAGAUCGCAGAACCGCUGACGUAGAUCAGUAACUUAUCAUUUCAGACCAGUCAAUUUCCAAACAAAAUUAAAACAGCUAAAGUAGUUCCCAUUUUCAAAAAAUGGAGGCAAACAUCGAUUUACAAAUGAUGGCCCAGUUUCGUUAUUACCACAAUUUUCCAAAAUCACUGAAAAGUUAUUCAACAACAGUUUGGACAAAUGUAUUGAUAAGAUUGAAUUACUUGCGGACAGCCAAUAUGGAUACGCAGCUAACAUUUCAACUUCCGUGGUACUGAUUGACAUUACCGAGGAAAUUACCACCGCUUUAGACCACGGAAAGUGCACGGCUGCAGUAUUUAUGGGUUUGACAAAAGCUUUUGAUACAAUUAAUCACAACAUCCUAAUUACAAAAUUAGAAAGGUAUGGAAUAAGAGGGUUAGUGUUGAAUUGGGUUCAAAGCUACAGUAUGUAGCCAACAGGAAGCAAUAUGUCAAGCUAGGAGAAUAUACUUCAGCUUGCUUAAAUAUAUCGUAUACCCCAGGGGUCAAUACUGGGACCAAAACUGUUCAACCUACUGUAUAUAUAAAGCCAUGAAAGACCUAAAUCUAGUAUUAUUUGCAGACGAUACUACUGUCUUCUGUUCUGGAGAAAGUACACACAAGCUAAUGAAAAUGAAAUGACUAUACUAAAAAGAUUUUGCUAAAAGGUUUGAUGAAAACAGAUUAUCCCUGAAACUAAGUAAAGCUAAGAUAAUGCUAUGCUAAUGGUAAUAGCAGAAAGGAUACAUGCAAAUACAAAUUGAUGGAGUGGACAUCGAGAGGGUAAACAAAAACACAUUUCUGGGGGUCGAUGACAAGAUGAGCUGGAAAUCUGGAUUAAAUGUGGAAAUUUGGCCUAUGCCAGUACUCACCCAUUAUCCAGCUAUGUUCUUUUCUAUUUCAUUUGUCAACGCUAUGUCUAAUCACCACCACACUUAUUACUUACUCUUCUUUUUUUACGACUUCAUUGUCAUUUCUCACCUAUUAUCAAACUAUGUUGUGUUAUGUCUAUUUCAUAUUAUUUAUUAGGACUGUCAAAUGAAGUUCUUAUCCCUCAUGAAACAUACAGCAAACACUUUUGACAGGAAGUGGCACACAAACCAAAGCAAUCUUCUUUAUGAUCAGUUUUUGUUGUGCUGUACUUGUUUGCUUGCUACUGCACAUGUCAAACAUCAACAUUCUGUGGGUCCCUCACCUGAGCGUCCUCAAAGCUGUAGCGUCCAGGGUCCUUCAGGUUGUGGCUGGUGCGUUCGUAGCUGUGAGAGUCCAGGUUGAUGGAGCUGGGUGCUCCUUCGGCCAGGAACUCUUGCCAGAUCUCCUGGGUCCUGGAGGGAACCUCCUGCAGUGGCCGUCGCUUCAGAUCCUGCACUGCUAACCAAAACCUAAAAAAGCAACAUUACACAUUCACGUUGUCAGUAUGUAAUAUAGCUUUAAUAUUUGUAUUCAUUUUAAUCGUUUAAUGUUUUGGGGUGUAAAACAUAUACUCAAUUUUGUAUAGGAGUAAAGUGAGUCAGUGCUCCAGCUAAGACAGAAGAUGGUGCUAGCUACGUCGAUCGCGAGCUACCGGUAGAUCGCGUAAAUGUCACUUUGUAGUUGUCAUAUGACAUCAGUCAGCUGACAUUAAGCUCCCCUCCUGAUUCGCGCUUGCUCCCCCGCAGCGCUUCAAGCUACACACGAAGAUGUAACUUUCAUCUUUAUUAUUGUGAUUAUGGAUGAACUAACUCAGCGGUUCUCUGAGCUGAACUCUGACUCCAAGAAUCUCAGGAACUGGUCUUGUCCUGCCGGGUCUUUCAGAGUUUCCUCUAAAGAGAAGCCCCACUUCUUUACGCGCUGUUGGCUGGGAUCCCGACUGCUCCAUCGAGAGCCAAAGAAGGUUCGAUGUGUCAGAAUAUGAAGAACCUUUAGGGAUACGCCAGGUGCCAUUCUCCUUCCUCACCUUGCCUCAAGGUCCCAGAAGGAGGAGUCGUCACUGACCCAAGGGUUGGAGGGGUCAAUGGCCGACAUAAAGGGGUCAUAGUCCAUGAACUGCUCCGUGUAGCUCAUCAGGCUGUCUGCUACUUUGGAAACCUUCAUGCAGUGUCGGUCCAGCUGGAUGUUGAGGAAGGUGAUCUGAUGGAAAAGGAGAUUCGGUGGUAAUGACUCAUGGGACACCAUCUAUUACCUCCUUCUGAACGUCCUCUUUGGUGGGCUUCCUGGCAGGCUGAGAGCUGAUGUGGACGGGACUGGGUUGGCUGUGGCUGUCAUCUGGAAGCCCAUAAACUGACUGGAGAAGGCCCAUGAAUGCAUCCUGGCUGAGUUCUGGCUGGUGAUUGGAUGAGCAGAGGAAAGGGAGGGGGCGCCGAUGUUUGCCUGCCUGCAUUCGGUGAGACAUCAGAGAAACGUCUUUUUCACCCUGUGUUCGUGACGCCAUCUGCUCCUCACAGAAGACUUCCCACAUUUUACACCAUCUGUGCUCACAGGUGAUCACCUCAGGUUCUUUUGACCUUUCAACAUGCAUGGAUUUCCUGCCAUGGGUGCCGGUGUAAGGGUAGGACGUGUUGCAACCCACUGCGGUUCAACUGUUUGUACAUUUUACACAUUUUACACAACACCGUCAUUUUCACUGUCUACAUGACAAUGCAGCUCGGCCUAAAAAUGCAAAAACCAAAACGUUUGUUGAAACGUAAACAGUUGUAAACUUUGUGUUUGCGCCUCCAAUAAAGUGUACACCGUUCAGUUUAAUACCAGGCUGAGCUUUCAUCCAAAUAUUAUUUUCUCUCCAAAAAUAUAUAUUUUUUUGUCAGAAAACACAUCUCAUUCACCCUAAGUGGGUAAUUGUUUAUCAAUACAUGAUAAUACAGGCAAAAUGCACAGCAUACACGUACCACUGUUAAAAAAGACCAUCAUUUUUACAUUUAUGCUUUAAUGCUUUACUGAUAGUUUGUUGCGUGCUCGAGUGUUGAGAUUUCGCACUUUGGUCAGUGGUCCUUGAACGCACCAUAGUUGCUGUCAGACAGACAUUAGAAAAUAGACAUUUGUAUCAAGGGUGUCCCGAUACCGAUAUUGAUCCGAUAUCAACACCAAUCAUACAUACUUUUAUGAUUUAUUUUAGAGUGUGGAAUGUUAGAACAACAAUAGGCAGCAACGGUAGGUAUGAGAAAAACUCACCCACUUACUUCUUUAUGCAUGUGGGGUAUAGUUUUAUCCACAAUGUAGUGGCAGCUAGGCAUAAGACAGCAAGGUUCAAGCUGCUCAAUGAAGCGUUUAAACCCGACAUUACUCUCUACCGACAAACUCGCUCUUUUGUGUUAUAGCUAAUGACUUUUUGCCGUCCCGUGUGCGUAUCCUGUGUGACGCCGCUUCAUAUGCGCGAUGAGGUUGGUUGUAUUAAACUUCGCCUGUGCUACCACGGGAAACUUGUGCAUGACAAGUUUUGCACCUAGCUGCAACAUCUUUUUACUGCCACACGGCUGACAUCACUCCUGCUCCUUGCUAUUUUUUUAGCAUGCUCGAAAACACUGUUGUUGUGAUCACAUGGGCUCUAUCCGGUUGCUGCUGGAUAGACGUGCCGGGGCGGAGUCUGGAAUCGAUUGCUUGUAUCGGAGUGGCAAUAUCGGAGAUUUGAGAUACAGUCCAAUAAAAUCUGGUUUCUUGCCGAUAAAAGCCGGAUAUCCGAUAUCAAUAUGGGAUCGGGACAUCACUAA